rnacentral:rRNA from 1 species
GAUGAACGCUGGCGGCGUGCCUAAUACAUGCAAGUCGAGCGAACAGACGAGGAGCUUGCUCCUCUGACGUUAGCGGCGGACGGGUGAGUAACACGUGGAUAACCUACCUAUAAGACUGGGAUAACUUCGGGAAACCGGAGCUAAUACCGGAUAAUAUAUUGAACCGCGUGGUUCAAUAGUGAAAGACGGUUUUGCUGUCACUUAUAGAUGGAUCCGCGCCGCAUUAGCUAGUUGGUAAGGUAACGGCUUACCAAGGCAACGAUGCGUAGCCGACCUGAGAGGGUGAUCGGCCACACUGGAACGGAGACACGGUCCAGACUCCUACGGGAGGCAGCAGUAGGGAAUCUUCCGCAAUGGGCGAAAGCUUGACGGAGCAACGCCGCGUGAGUGAUGAAGGUCUUCGGAUCGUAAAACUCUGUUAUUAGGGAAGAACAAAUGUGUAAGUAACUAUGCACGUCUUGACGGUACCUAAUCAGAAAGCCACGGCUAACUACGUG